rnacentral:antisense_RNA from 1 species
UGAGCUCCAAGGUCGUGGUCUGGUCCUCAGGGAUGAGGUCCCGGGUCCAGACUCUUUCCUUGGUCAGCAACUCCUGCUUAGAAGCUCCCCGCCCCGAAUGGAAUCUUGACCUGGCGCUAGGUCCCCCGCUGGGAGUGCCCGAGGCUUUCCUGAAGGCCCCAUGCCUUCAGGCCGCCAGGGUCCCAAGGUGCCUGUGGCGGCCCCUCGUCCGCCUGAGCCCUGAGAUCAGCGCGGCCCUCGGUGCUGCAGGGCCCCAGGGCGGCCAGGAAACACCUGCCCCAAGUCCAGGCCCGGCCCCACCGCAGUCCAGGACCCUAAUUCUCGAGUGUCUCUUCACGACCCUGACCCCGGAAGGGCGCUUCCUUGCGAACGAAUUUUUAACUCUGCGGACUGGGAUCCCUUGUAGGGGCCCCUCCGAGGGCCCCUCCCACCCCUUUCCCCUGGACUAGCGAACUCCGACCCUAAGCGCGGCCCCGCGGGGAGCGGAUCCCGGAAGCUAGGCCCAUAUCCGGCCGCGGCGCCUUGCGCGCGGGGUUGGCUGCCGGGAGGUCGACGCUAGUGCGGUGCCCCGCGCGGCGGAGGGGCCCGGGCCGCGGAAUCUGCGCACUGAGACGUCGGCGGAAGGCUAGAGGCCGUGCUCUCGCCACCGCAGAAGGCCACCACUCCUUGAGAAGGCCGGAGGGACAAAGCACCGGGCCUGCGCCGGGGGCAUUCAAGAAGGAAGCCAGGCCCGACCGGGGGGUGGCGCACGCUUCCCGAACCCCAGGCCCACGGCCCGGUUCCGCGCGGGCAGUUGGCGCCCCCUCGGGUCGGCACAGCAGACCUCUUAGUAAUGGUCCCCAGGAAGUGUGAGUGGGUCCCCGCCAAUCUUUUAAGGUUCAGAGAUCCACCGUCGAACGAAGCCGCUUUUACAACUUCCCCAUUUAGCCUCUUUCCUCGCCCCCCCGCUGGCUAAAGCGCUGAACCUUGCCAUCCUCCUGGGGUGCCUAACGAUUUGCCCUGCCUUGGACAGCCAGUCCUCUUCAGGUGGUGGGCUGCUGGUAGGGGUAGGAAGCAAGGCCUGGGGCACAGCUGGGGACCCUCACACCUGAUUUUCUGUUUUAAGGAGGAACUGGGUUUCAAGAAGCUGUAGAGUCAGUGGGAGUUUCCUUUUGUGGCCCUUGGCACUUUUUAAAACACCCAUCUGCAAGGCGGGAACAGCGGAGAAAGUGCUAUGUAGUUCAUAAAAAAGAUAUUGGGAGACUGUUAUCUUAAGAGUUUUUCUAGAGAUUGUUUUGUAAUCUGUCAGUUUAGAGAGUUGAUAUGUCCCGCGCCAUCAGCCCGCUGAAUGGGAUCUUCCUUCAGACAGGGACUGAGAAACGGAAAUACUACCAUCCUCCAGCCAAUCUGUUGGGAGGACUGCUUGCAGAGGACUCGUGCUCCAGAUGUUGCACUAGAGGCGCUGCAAGUGUGAGCAGCAGGUAGAUGAAACUCAAGAGAAAAGGUGUGGAUAAAUGAAACUAGCCCAUGAUGAACCUGUUUUCUCCAUGACCACAAUAUUAACCAGGAUGAUGGCGGUGGCAGUGGGCCUGCAUCACAGGUUGCAGCAGAUGUUCUCAAUAUUUCUAUUAAAAUUUCCUUAUUUCCAUAUGCAAGAGGAGCCCCAGAGCUGCAUCCUUAUGGUAGCUACCAUGCCGUGAUGUAAGCUGCCAUUCACUGGGGAGCUUUGGCAAUAGAAUUGGCUAGAUCAGCAAGCCCAUGUCAACUAUGGAACAACAACUUGCAGCUCAUCUCUAUUGAUGAUGGAAUCUCGCUAUGUCACCAGGCUGGAGUGCAGUGGCGCAACCUCGGCUCAGCGCAACAUCCGCCUCCCGGGUUCAAGUGAUUCUCCUACCUCAGCCUCCCGAGUAGCUGGGAUUACAGAUACACUGCCUCUAGGACUGGGACAGAUAGCCACUGAGUACCUGCUUCAAAUCACCCUGCACG